UAUAGUCAGUCUUCACUUUUAACCAAUGUUUAAGUUUCAUGCAAUGGAAGCCCAAAGACUUUAUGCACUGAUCUGUAGCCACAACGCCCUUUCUGUACCUGUCCUAAAAUGACCCCUGUCUACUUAAAGGAGGCGGAGUAGGGCGGAUUCACGUAACACAAAUUGCAAAUUAGCCACAGCCUUAAGUGAGGUUAUAUUAUACGCUAAGUCUUGCAUUGCCACCGCCUUCUCUUGAUGAGUACAGGGCAGUGUAUUCGGUCUUCGUGUCGUGGUCAAGAAUUCCCCGUUGUUGGAGUCGUUUAGAUGUACUCCCCGCACGCCCUAAUGCCUGUGCCUGAGAACUAACAAUAGUAUAAUUCCCAAGAGACAAAUUCAACAGGGCACCAUUCACUCUCCUGUCAGCUGAAAAGCACCAUUUAACUGACAGACCUCCCAACAAUCAAGAUUGACUGGAAUCAAUCCCACAACCCCAAGAUGAGCCCUUGAUGUGCCUGUAAUAGAGUGUGCAUGCGUAGACCAAGGAGGUGUUGGGGAACAUGCACGGCCAAUGUAAAAAUGUUCAUAUUUCAUAUUUUUAUAAAAAGAUUCUCAACAUUUGAAAGGGAAGAGC